rnacentral:rRNA from 1 species
UACGGAGGAUCCAAGCGUUAUCCGGAAUCAUUGGGUUUAAAGGGUCCGUAGGCGGUUUUGUAAGUCAGUGGUGAAAGCCCAUCGCUCAACGGUGGAACGGCCAUUGAUACUGCAAGACUUGAAUUAUUGGGAAGUAACUAGAAUAUGUAGUGUAGCGGUGAAAUGCUUAGAGAUUACAUGGAAUACCAAUUGCGAAGGCAGGUUACUACCAAUAUAUUGACGCUG